CAGAAAAAUUACAUACGUGAAUGUAGAAUCGACGCCUUCUCUUUUAUCUUUCUCGAUUUUAUUGAUAUAAGUGUCCAUAAAAUCAGUACCGUCACCAUCGAUGACAUG
ensembl:snoRNA T09H2.2 ncRNA